rnacentral:rRNA from 1 species
AGUCGAGCGGUAGAGAGAAGCUUGCUUCUCUUGAGAGCGGCGGACGGGUGAGUAAUGCCUAGGAAUCUGCCUGGUAGUGGGGGAUAACGUUCGGAAACGGACGCUAAUACCGCAUACGUCCUACGGGAGAAAGCAGGGGACCUUCGGGCCUUGCGCUAUCAGAUGAGCCUAGGUCGGAUUAGCUAGUUGGUGGGGUAAUGGCUCACCAAGGCGACGAUCCGUAACUGGUCUGAGAGGAUGAUCAGUCACACUGGAACUGAGACACGGUCCAGACUCCUACGGGAGGCAGCAGUGGGGAAUAUUGGACAAUGGGCGAAAGCCUGAUCCAGCCAUGCCGCGUGUGUGAAGAAGGUCUUCGGAUUGUAAAGCACUUUAAGUUGGGAGGAAGGGCAGUAAAUUAAUACUUUGCUGUUUUGACGUUACCGACAGAAUAAGCACCGGCUAACUCUGUGCCAGCAGCCGCGGUAAUACAGAGGGUGCAAGCGUUAAUCGGAAUUACUGGGCGUAAAGCGCGCGUAGGUGGUUAGUUAAGUUGGAUGUGAAAUCCCCGGGCUCAACCUGGGAACUGCAUUCAAAACUGACUGACUAGAGUAUGGUAGAGGGUGGUGGAAUUUC